UUAAACGCGUUGAUAAGGAGAAGUAGAGAGUCCGUUUCCAUAUUAGAGAGAACCUCCCCGGCUGAAAGAGGUUUAUGCGAAAAAAUUCUCGAAAUGCACCUUUGAGCCUUUUAUUGAACCAUCAGCCAGUCUGACGCAUUAAAUAAAAGCGGAUUGCUCACCGUUACAGGAGCCUAAAGUUGAAGCAGGCAAUUUCUUUGCUUGUUUAAACAGAGUGGAACCGCGCAUUUAAAGCGUCUCUGUC
rnacentral:ncRNA from 1 species